GAAAGAAAAAAUCGAAAGCAAUGAAAAUGAACAGUUAAGGUUUUCAAAGAUCCUUGACAUAGCUAGCAACAUAAUGGUUGUCUCUCUACCUGGGGCUUCUAAGCUACUUGGAGUAGGGAUAAAAUAUCUUGGCUCACGUAUUUAAGAGCCUGAAUGUUCCAGUGCAUGCAGCCCCUGUCACAUACCACCUGUUUGCUCAAGUCAAUCAUGACCCUUUCAUGUGAAAUCUUUAGUGUUGUGAGCCCUUAAAAGGGACAGAAACUUUGCAUUCAAGGAGCUUGGAUUUUAAGGCAGCAGCUUGCAGAUGCCAACAGCUGAAAAAAGCCCUUCCUUCUACAAUUCCGUGUCUGAGAAGUUUUGUCUGCAGCUCAUCCUGCUACAGAAUGAACUCAUUGUAAUUCUACAAGAUAUGCAUAUUCUUUUGACCAUGGGCCUUUUCACAGGGGACACAGGCUUCUUAAAACAACCUGGCUUCCUCACCCUAUGUCCUUUAUUUACAAAGCUGUGCUCCUAUUCAUGAGCAUGGAAUGUUUUUCCAUUUGUUUGUGACAUCUCUUAUUUCUUUCAGGGGUAUCUUGUAACUCUCAUUAUAUAUAUCUUUUGCCUCCUUGGUUAGCUGUAUUUUUAGGUAUUUUAUUCUUCUUGUGGCAAUUGUGAAUCGGAUUGCAUUCCUGAUUUGGGUCUCGGCUUGAAUGUUAUUAAUGCCACAUAUUUUAAAUAGACAAAAAUAUGAGAUUAAAAAUGUUGAAUUUUACUAACAAUAAAAGUUGUUCAAAGGAAAA
rnacentral:sRNA from 1 species